rnacentral:rRNA from 1 species
CCUACGGGAGGCAGCAGUGGGGAAUUUUGGACAAUGGGCGCAAGCCUGAUCCAGCAAUGCCGCGUGCAGGAUGAAGGCCUUCGGGUUGUAAACUGCUUUUGUACGGAACGAAACGGUGAGCUCUAAUACAGUUUGCUAAUGACGGUACCGUAAGAAUAAGCACCGGCUAACUACGUGCCAGCAGCCGCGGUAAUACGUAGGGUGCGAGCGUUAAUCGGAAUUACUGGGCGUAAAGCGUGCGCAGGCGGUGAUGUAAGACAGAUGUGAAAUCCCCGGGCUCAACCUGGGACCUGCAUUUGUGACUGCAUCGCUAGAGUACGGCAGAGGGGGAUGGAAUUCCGCGUGUAGCAGUGAAAUGCGUAGAUAUGCGGAGGAACACCGAUGGCGAAGGCAAUCCCCUGGACCUGUACUGACGCUCAUGCACGAAAGCGUGGGGAGCAAACAGGAUUAGAUACCCUGGUAGUCCACGCCCUAAACGAUGUCAACUGGUUGUUGGGUCUUCACUCACUCAGU